rnacentral:misc_RNA from 1 species
CCGAGUUUACAACUCCCAAACCCCUGUGAACAUACCACUUGUUGCCUCGGCGGAUCAGCCCGCUCCCGGUAAACGGGACGGCCCGCCAGAGGACCCUAAACUCUGUUUCUAUAUGUAACUUCUGAGUAAACCAUAAAUAAAUCA